UGCAGUCGAGCGACGGAUAAGGAGCUUGCUCCUUUGAAGUUAGCGGCGGACGGGUGAGUAACACGUGGGUAACCUACCUAUAAGACUGGAAUAACUUCGGGAAACCGGAGCUAAUGCCGGAUAACAUUUGGAACCGCAUGGUUCUAAAGUAAAAGAUGGUUUUGCUAUCACUUAUAGAUGGACCCGCGCCGUAUUAGCUAGUUGGUAAGGUAACGGCUUACCAAGGCAACGAUACGUAGCCGACCUGAGAGGGUGAUCGGCCACACUGGAACUGAGACACGGUCCAGACUCCUACGGGAGGCAGCAGUAGGGAAUCUUCCGCAAUGGACGAAAGUCUGACGGAGCAACGCCGCGUGAGUGAUGAAGGUUUUCGGAUCGUAAAACUCUGUUAUUAGGGAAGAACAAAUGNGUAAGUAACUGUGCNCAUCUUGACGGUACCUAAUCAGAAAGCCACGGCUAACUACGUGCCAGCAGCCGCGGUAAUACGUAGGUGGCAAGCGUUAUCCGGAAUUAUUGGGCGUAAAGCGCGCGUAGGCGGUUUCUUAAGUCUGAUGUGAAAGCCCACGGCUCAACCGUGGAGGGUCAUUGGAAACUGGGAAACUUGAGUACAGAAGAGGAAAGUGGAAUUCCAUGUGUAGCGGUGAAAUGCGCAGAGAUAUGGAGGAACACCAGUGGCGAAGGCGACUUUCUGGUCUGUAACUGACGCUGAUGUGCGAAAGCGUGGGGAUCAAACAGGAUUAGAUACCCUGGUAGUCCACGCCGUAAACGAUGAGUGCUAAGUGUUAGGGGGUUUCCGCCCCUUAUUGCUGC
rnacentral:rRNA from 2 species